GUGCUCACUUCAGCAGCACGUAUUAUAAAAUUGGAAUGAUACACAGAAGAUUAGCAUGGCCUUUGCACAAAAAAGACAUGCAAAUUCAUGAAGCAUUCCAUACAUUU